AGGAUAAUAGUUAAUAAUAACAUUUAAUUUGCAUUUAAAAAUUACUAUUUUAUAGUUUAUCUU
rnacentral:tRNA from 1 species